CAAUAGCGUAUAUUAAAGUUGUUGCAGUUAAAAAGCUCGUAGUUGGAUUUGUGGCUUACGAUGUGUCCCCGGCACUUGUUGUCGUUGGUACUUGUCGUUGCCAUCCUUGGGUGGAAUCUGUGUGGCAUUAGGUUGUCGUGCAGGGGAUGCCUAUCGUUUACUGUGAAAAAAUUAGAGUGAUCAAAGCAGGCUUACGCCGUUGAAUAUAUUAGCAUGGAAUAACGAGAUAGGACCUUGGUACUAUUUUGUUGGUUUGCGCACCGAGGUAAUGAUUAAUAGGGACAGUUGGGGGUAUUCGUAUUCCAUUGUCAGAGGUGAAAUUCUUGGAUUUUUGGAAGACGAACUACUGCGAAAGCAUUUACCAAGGAUGUUUUCAUUAA
rnacentral:rRNA from 1 species